UGGGCUGGCCAGAAAGUUCGUUCAGGUUUUCCAUAACAUUACGAAAAACCCAAACAAACUUUUUGGCCAGUCCAAU
rnacentral:miRNA from 1 species